GGCUUCCUACGGGAGGCAGCAGUGGGGAAUAUUGGACAAUGGGCGCAAGCCUGAUCCAGCCAUGCCGCGUGUGUGAAGAAGGCCUUCGGGUUGUAAAGCACUUUUGUUCGGGAAGAAAAGCUACCGGUUAAUACCCGGGAGUCAUGACGGUACCGAAAGAAUAAGCACCGGCUAACUUCGUGCCAGCAGCCGCGGUAAUACGAAGGGUGCAAGCGUUACUCGGAAUUACUGGGCGUAAAGCGUGCGUAGGUGGUGCGUUAAGUCUGUCGUGAAAGCCCCGGGCUCAACCUGGGAAUGGCGAUGGAUACUGGCGCGCUAGAGUGCGGUAGAGGAGAGUGGAAUUCCCGGUGUAGCAGUGAAAUGCGUAGAGAUCGGGAGGAACAUCAGUUGCGAAGGCGGCUCUCUGGACCAACACUGACACUGAGGCACGAAAGCGUGGGGAGCAAACAGGAUUAGAUACCCUGGUAGUCCACGCCCUAAACGAUGCGAACUGGACGUUGGGAGCAACUAGGCUCUCAGUGUCGAAGCUAACGCGUUAAGUUCGCCGCCUGGGGAGUACGGUCGCAAGACUGAA
rnacentral:rRNA from 1 species